GGCCCCAUCGUUUAGCGGCCUAGGACGCUGCCCUUUCACGGCAGUAGCACGGGUUCGAAUCCCGUUGGGGUCA
rnacentral:tRNA from 3 species